GACAGAGGCCUCGAGCGUUAGGCGGAAUCACUGGGCUUAAAGCGUGUGUAGGCGGAUCGUUAAGUGCCUUGUGAAAUCCCACGGCUUAACUGUGGAACGGCUGGGCAUACUGGCGGUCUUGAGCCAUCUAGGGGCGACUGGAACAAACGGUGGAGCGGUGAAAUGCGUUGAGAUCGGAAGGAACGCCCGUGGCGAAAGCGAGGUCCUGGAUGCCUACUGACGCUGAGACGCGAAAGCCAGGGGAGCGAACGGG
rnacentral:rRNA from 1 species